GAUGAACGCUGGCGGCGUGCCUAAUACAUGCAAGUCGAGCGAACGGACGAGAAGCUUGCUUCUCUGAUGUUAGCGGCGGACGGGUGAGUAACACGUGGAUAACCUACCUAUAAGACUGGGAUAACUUCGGGAAACCGGAGCUAAUACCGGAUAAUAUUUUGAACCGCAUGGUUCAAAAGUGAAAGACGGUCUUGCUGUCACUUAUAGAUGGAUCCGCGCUGCAUUAGCUAGUUGGUAAGGUAACGGCUUACCAAGGCAACGAUGCGUAGCCGACCUGAGAGGGUGGUCAGUCCCACUGGAACCGGGAAACGGGCCCGGCACCCUCGGGAGGGCGGAGGGGGGAAUUUUGCCCAAAUGGGGGAAGCCUUAGCCAGGCAACCCGCGGGUGGGGAUGAGGGCUUCGGAUUGGAAAACCUUUUUUUUUGGGAAGAAAAAAAGGUAGAAGAAACCGGGCCAUUUUGACCUGACCCAAAGAAGAAGCCCCGGCUAACUUCGUG
rnacentral:rRNA from 1 species